UUAUUUUAUGGGAACAUUGAUUUUCUUUUAUUCCUUAAUUAUAAUUUCCCUGUGAUGGCAUCACAUCCAGGUUGAGCCCCUGCUUUGUGCCCUAUGCUGUUGGGGAAAGGCUGGAGGCCAGCUUGAAAGAUGGAUGGAGGGAGGGAUGGAUGGAUGGAUGGAUGGAUGGAUAUAAAAUGUUCUUUAAAAUCAUAGUAAAAAAGAUAAGAUAAGAUAAGAUGAUAAGAUAAUCCUUUAUUAGUCCCACAAGUGGGAAAUUUGCAUAGUCAUGGCAGUAAGUGGACAGUACAAGAAUAGAGCAGCAAAAAUUAACAACAAUAUGAUAAAAACUAUAUUUGUACAAGUGGAAAUAUAUAAAUAUUAAUAUAUGUACAACAUUAACAGUAAAACUGACAGUUAAAAUUCUCUGGCUCUUUUCAUGCUCUUUGUUACUGUCUCCUGUUUCUCACAUGUAUCCUGUGUAAUAGUACAGAUGACGCUCUAGCGUGUUGCUAUAAAGCAUGUAAGACUUUACUGUUCAAAUCCACCCUCUCAUUGAGCUCUCUGGUCCAGUUUGUUUCUGUAUGUAGGACUGGGCUUAUUGGUGCUGCUGUUGAUCAUCAUCAUCAUCACAUGGAAAGUGUGGGACAAACGCAAGAAAAAAAGAGCCAUGAACCAAAAUGCAGGAAGUACAGAAUUAACACAGGUGUCCUCUAGAUGUUCUUCACACCAUCCUGCUAGAACCCCAGCCAGCGAUGCGGUCUACAGCUCAGUCACCCUGAAGCACAGAGAGUAGGGGGCAGCAACACAGAGAGGCUCCUCUACAUGUGGGGAGCUGCUGCUCUGGAUGAGGGCUGUGAGGGAGACACAGAUACUGCAGUGAUCAUCACCAGACAGGAGCAUCUUACAGUGAUGUGAGCUGUAUUUAAAUAGCAUGCAGCUCUCUCACAUUAUAGUAUGAUCAAUGUGCUGUUUACCUCACUUGUUCGUUGCUUUGGACAUGAUGGAAUAAAUGUAAAUGUAAGGUAUUAUCUUGGUCUGUGAAUUGUCACUUUUCAUUCAUAUAAAUGGAAAAAUAUCAUUAGCUGUGCUGUUUGUUUAGUAUAAAAUAAAAUGUUUGCUAUUUCAAUAUGCAUCAUUUUCAAGGUAUUUGCCAGUGUCUGUUUGUCUCUUGUACUGUUGAGCAUUUACUGAGGUCUAAGGGCUCCGGCUUUAAUUUUAUGCUCUUCUUGCGCACUUCACUGCCCCCUGCUGGAGCAGCUUUGCUAUUUCGCUGCCUCCCUGCUCUCCUCUGACUGUGGAAUUAGAAGCUGACCUGUUACCAUUAUGUCACAUUUUAUGAUAAAAGCUUUAGCUUUAGGUUUCCACAGAAUUUUAGACAUUUGCUUAUUGAUAAAUUGAGUAUUAUUUAAAAUGCAGACCACAGACUGUGUGGCUCAUCGUACAUACUGUUAAUAAAGAUGCUUUUCAUUA